UACGUAGGGUGCAAGUGUUGUCCGGAAUUAUUGGGCGUAAAGAGCUCGUAGGCGGUUUGUCGCGUCGGCUGUGAAAACCCGGGGCUCAACCCCGGGCCUGCAGUCGAUACGGGCAAACUAGAGUGCGGUAGGGGAGACUGGAAUUCCUGGUGUAGCGGUGAAAUGCGCAGAUAUCAGGAGGAACACCGGUGGCGAAGGCGGGUCUCUGGGCCGUAACUGACGCUGAGGAGCGAAAGCGUGGGGAGCGAACAGG
rnacentral:rRNA from 1 species